rnacentral:rRNA from 1 species
CCUACGGGAGGCAGCAGUGGGGGAUAUUGCACAAUGGGGGAAACCCUGAUGCAGCGACGCCGCGUGGGUGAAGAAGCGCCUCGGCGCGUUAAGCCCUGUCAGCAGGGAAGAAAAUGACGGUACCUGUAGAAGAAGCCCCGGCUAACUACGUGACAGCAGCCGCGGUAAUACGUAGGGGGCAAGCGUUAUCCGGAUUUACUGGGUGUAAGGGGGGCGCAGACGGGGAUGCAAGCCAGGAGUGAAAGCCCGGGGCCCAACCCCGGGACGGCGCUUGGAACGGCGUGGCAAGAGUGCAGGAGGGGCAGGGGAAUGCCUGGUGUAGCGGUGAAAUGCGUAGAUAUCAGGAGGAACACCGGUGGCGAAGGCGGCCUGCUGGACUGCAACUGACGUUGAGGCCCGAAAGCGUGGGGAGCGAACAGGAUUAGAUACCCGUGUAGUC